UGUAUUGUAUGACUAUGUUUUAACCUAAUAUUGGGUUGCAUGCAUUCUUUAAUUACAGUGUAUUUAUCUAAUCUGAAUGAUUGACUCUGGGCUGAGUACUAUGUUGUUUAUGUUUCCAGAAGUUUACUCGAUGAUGGAUUUAUGAAGUGCAGUAAGCGCGAUAUGCCAUUAUGCAGUUGUUCAUUAUUGUUUAAUGCAAUGUUUUAUUUCAAAGUCUCAAGCAUAUUCCGGGAGUUAUGAUAGUAUGCUUGAAGCACGUCAUACAUAUUCAUCUCAUGCAUUGGAAGUUUGUCGCCGUCUUCUGGCCGCGACUGUACCGGUACAGUACCGUAUGUUACCCGAGAAUGGGUACGGUGCACACCCUUACGUUACCCGAGGAGGGGUAAGGGUGAGGAGAGCAUGUCAUAUGCAUGGUUAUGUCUUCUUAUGAAAUUCAAUGGGUUAUUUGCAUCAAAUCUUAUUUCCUUUAAUUAGCUUGUAUAUAGAUAUAUAUGCGGCUCUGAAGGCUUAUACCAACCGAAUGUUAAAUGAUUAAUGUUAUCGUUGGACUUGCUUAGUCAUAAUUGUUUCUCCUAGUGUUGGCGGUCUGUUUCAUUACUAGUUUCUAUUUAGAAUUGUUAGCACAUUCAACUGUGGCUAAAUAGCUUUUUGUUAAAGUAACUUUCACUUGCUGAGAUUUUCGAAUCUCACCCGUGUUUUUUUUACAGGUAUGUUUAGAUGUUGACGUGCAUUUUGGGGAUGGAUCUCGGUAGCUGCACACACUAACUUAUCACGAUGUCGAUAGCUCAACCGGUGUAUACAAAUGGUGUGUCUGAUGGUCUGACGUUUGCUUUUGUUUAUGUUGUGGUACGACGCUGGUAGCGUUGUGGCGAACUCUAUAUAUGCUAGUUAUAUCUGAUUCUGUCUGCCUGAGAUUUCUCUUUUGGUCAGUUAUACCUCUCUAUAGAGGAAAUGCUGCCAAAUUAUCCUAUUUUUAUAUAAAUAGGCUGAGUUGUAAAGUAGGGUGUUACAGCUUGGUAUCAGAGCCUAGGCUUUAGGUCCUAGGUAAUUGAAUGAUGAACCUGACACACUUGCACAAAUAGAAUGGGUAUGGGAUGCAUUACAUUGCAUACAUCUUGUUUAUCUUUGUUCGCUUAUGUUCACUAUCUCAAAUAAAUACUAUUGAAGUUACUUGUUUGAUUCUCCACAUAUUCUUUAGUGUUUUAUCAUUGAUAUAUAUUGUUAAGUUGUUGGAGUCAGUUCUGUUGGAAUGGUGAAAUUGUCAGGGCGUUAAAAUGGUUACCUUGGUCAUUAGAACCUGAGAAGCUUCAGAGGAUCAAUAGCAUAACUGUUGUAUGGCACUGCAGAUGGGUUAAGUGGAGGGCCCCCAUGAUGCCUUUUUCUGUAUUGUCAGGUGAGGUUGACCAAGAGUUAGGUUUGCGAUCCAACUAUCCACAUACAGAGCGAAUGUUUUGGGUACGAGAUGGACUGGCCCCCAUGUCGUUGACCCUAACUAUUCGUUCUCGGAAUGUCGGAGAAAUGGAUCGAUGUGUGCCUUACCAUAGAGAUAAGGUGAUAAUGUUUUCAACCUAACCAUUAGAAUGGUGUAGGAUUUCUUUUUCCCAUGGAGUCGGGACGAUCUUUUUGCCGAUUGAGUGAAGAUAUGUUGAUAGUGGGAUCCUAAUAGGGUUCUAGGAGUUUUUUCUAAUCUUUUGCUAUACUUGUACCCUAGUUGUUGAUGUUUUGAGGGUUAGUUAACAUCUCGUGUUUAAGUUAAAAUGUUUACAUACCUUAUGUGUCAGUUUCUUUAAUAUCUGAAAAUAAUCUUUUGUAGUUGGAAUAUCUAUGCAUGUUUGAAAAUAAUUAUUUGAGGUAGUUAUUUUUGUUAAGUUAGCCUUUGUGGAAUAGUCCACUGGCUGUGGGAGUUGGAGUUAUCGAUUGCGUUGAAACAACCGAUUUGUAUCGAAGUGAUGCUAAUGGAGUGACACAUUCCUUAAGGAUGCAUCAGUUGUUUCAAACCUGUUUUGUGAGGUUUCACGAUUGGAAUACCUAAGGUUGGCUCUUGCGGGGCUGAGGUAGAGAUUUUGGUUGAAUCAUGUUAUGUUUCUGAUAUCGCUUAGCUAAACUUGUCAUUUGCUUUGAAGCUUGAAGCCAAGAAUAUACUUGGGUUGUAGGAGCCUUGGCGUUGCCAAGGGUUUGCUGAAUAGUCUAUAACCUAUAACAUCAUGAUAGGAUGCUAAGUUGGUUUGUCAUCAUGGGAGCAUUAUCAAUUGAACCUGGUGAGUUUUGCUCGUUGAAGUGAAUGUUGAAACUUAAGGUCGCCGGAACUUUUCCUGGCCUAAUAAUCGAAGGUGUUGUUAGGGCUUGUCAUGGUGUUUUAUUGACAGAUUUUUAAUGUGAUCCGUUCUAGAACUUCGUUUCUUGUUGGCUCUUGUGGAGUGAAUGGAGUUAAAGAAGUAAUUGACUAAUUUCUGACGUGAGAGCUUUGGAUUUCUGUUGGUGACUCAGUUUUCUCUAAGGAUGGAGAUUUGACUGAGAGAUGCCUGAGUGGGUUUACAUGUUGGAAGUUUGUCUUUAUUGGGAGUAAGUCUAUCCAAACCCUGGUUUAAGGGAAGAGUGUUGUAAAGUGGAAUUCAUUCCGGAAUUUAAGUGCUGAGGUUAGAGUUAUGUUUAGGAGCUAAGGGUUGCUCCCCUGUUUAAAGGAGUGUUGUAAGAGAGGAUGAACCAUUGGGGUGUAUCUUUGUAGUUUUGUUGCUGUUCAGGAGAGAGUAUGCCUUCUAAGGACUCGGAGAGAAGCAUUGUAUGCUCAACCCAUUGACGGUAAAUUGGUGUUGCAAAUGGUGCUUGCUAAACUAAAUUCAUAAAAUAAUUAAAUUGGAGUUGGAUUAAUAGGGUUGAGUUUGCAGAAGUCAUAUUUUCAACCCUCCCCAUGAGCAUUCCGCAGUGAUCAUCUUGUCGGUUAGAUUAACCGAUGUCUUUUCAACAUUUGAGGAGGAUGUGUUUUUGCAUGCAAUUUUACUUUAAAGAAGUUGUGGCGUGGUUACCGAUAGUAUGACUGUCCUGGGAAUGUGAGCAAGAUGGGAAGUUCUUUAGUAUGCCAGUUUGGCAUGUUUCUGAAUGUACCGGUCAACACAAUUUAUCUUUUGGUCCAACUGCCUCUGGAUGGAAGUGUUCUGGUAUUCAAGUUGGAAAGUGCAAGUUUAAACUUGUACCAUGAAGGACGAGUCGUUAGAUGUUUAGAAGGAUUGAAUUAGGCAAGUGGUUGUAAUCUCCUGAUCACCCCUUCUAGACUUGGUGAUAUAUCAGGAUGAGAAUGACCAACUGGAAGUUUAUAUCUUAACGUUGUGACUGUCUUUUGUGUAGAUCUACCCACACUCGUAUUUUUGGAGUUAGUGAUGUUGGUAGAAGAGGUGAAGUGUUGAUGUUUCUUUAAUCCUGAACCAUAAAUGUUUUUAAUUGAUCCUCCCUGUGAAGGAGUUGAAGUUGAAGCGAAGAAGGUUUAUAUUCUUAUUCGGGUUUUUGACCCGAGUUUGUGGAGUUAGCCAAACAAUUUUUUUUUUUUUGGUGUGAUUGCAUCCACCAAAAAGGAUGUUUCUGGGCAACUAAUGCCUUGGUAUUAGAACUAGUCGAAGAGAGUGUCUCAUAAUUGGCUGGUAUAGUAUUAACAGAAAUGUUGUGUGUUCUUGGAUUCGUUUUCGCUUCUAAGAGUGAGAAGGCAACGAAAUGGUAAAGUCCAUCCAAUGUAACAGAGAUUUGGAGUUUUCUUGGAUUCGCUGGCCGUUACUGACAUUUUAUACAAGGUUUUUAUUUUAUUGCAAAGCCUAUGAUUAGACUUACCGAGAAGUGUGUUCCAUUUGUAUGGACUGAUGAAUGUAAGAUCAGGUUACAAACAUUAAAGAAUAAGUUGGUGAACGCUCCUAUUUUGGCUUUGCCCGAGAGUGGUAAGUGUUUCACAGUUUACACUGAUGCUUCUCGAAUUGGACUUGACUGUGUGCUUAUGCAAGGCGGUCAAAUAAUUGCAUAUGCGUCCAGAUAAUUGAAAACUCAUGAACAGAAUUAUCCCACUCAUGAUUUAGAAUUGGCUGCAAUGGUUUUUGCCUUGAAGAGUUGGAGGCAUUACCUGUAUGGUGAGUCAUGUGAUAUUUUCACUGAUCAUAAGAGUCUCAAGUACAUUUUCACUCAAAGAGAUCCGAAUUUGAGACAAACGAAGAUGGUUAGAAUUAAUCAAAGACUAUGAUCUGACAAUUUAGUAUUAUCUCGGAAAGGCUAAUGUGGUAGUUGACGCCCUUAGUAGAACAGGUGUACCUAAAGUAAUAAUGUGCUUACAUUCAGACUUGGAUCGAAUGGGGAUAUCUUUUUGCUUUGCUGGCAGAGAUGCUUUUUGGGUUGUCGUGGGUAGGCUUACCAAAUCCGCACUUUUCAUUCCAAUGAAGACAACCAGUUCGGCACAUGAGUUGGCUCCCUUGUAUAUCAGGGAAAUAGUGAGGUUGCAUGGUGUGCCAAAAUCAAUCAUUUCAGAUCGGGAUUCCAAAUUUUGUAUCCCAGUUUUAGCAGAGUUUGCUUAUAAUAACAGCUAUCAAGCAAGUAUUCGGAUGACUCCUUUUGAGGCCUUGUAUGGUCGAAGGUGUGUUUCCCCUUUGUGUUGGGAUUCCGUUGGAGAGAGAUCACUACUUGGUCCAAAUUUGGUUCAGCAAACAUCAGAAAAGGUGCACCAAAUACAUCAAAAUCUGUUGGCUGCUCAAAGUCGACAGAAGAGCUAUGCAGAUAUCCGGAGACGAGACAUAGAAUUUCCAGUUGGUGACUAUGCUCUUCUCAGAGUGUCGCCAACCAAAAGUGUUGUACAUUUUGGUAUCUCUGGGAAGCUUAACCCAAGAUACAUUGGUCCAUUUCUAAUCAGCCCGAGUAGGCAAUUUGGCGUACCGUCUUGAAUUACCAGACUCAAUGAGUGGAGUACAUAGUGUCUUCCAUGUUUCUAUGCUAAGAAAAUAUCUGAGAGACCCUGAGCAUAAAAUUGAUAUUGAAUCAAUCACGAUAGAAAAAGAUCUGAUCGUAAAGUGCCACCUAGUACGUAUUCUGGAUUCCUCAGAGCGAGUCAUGCGAAGAAGAACUAUCAAGUUUGUGAGAGUCCUUUGGACAAAUCAAUCAGAAUGAGAAGCAACUUGGGAACUUGAAGAACAAAUGCAUAAGGAGUACCCUGAGCUCUUUGAGACUGGCGAGUCAUAAGUUUUGAAAUAUUUUACCUCCAUUCCUUAGUUGCCAUGGAAGCGGCAGAAUUCGGGGACGAAUUCCUUUAAGGGGGGGAGAAUGUAAUACUGAAUUUUUUUAGAAAAAGAAGAGAGAGAGAGUUGACCAAAUAUUGACUUUUUGAUCUGUUGCUCGUAUGGCCGAUCGGAGACCGCGGUUGCGUUCAUCUCGUCGAGAUGAACCCAUUUUGCUAUUCAUAUGUCCGUUCCGGGCACUUUGAGACCCGUAGCGAGCUCAAUAAAUUUAGACUGUUCGUUUUUUUAAAUAAAAAAUAAAAAAAAGAGAUAAGUACUGGAUGGAUCGGUCCUCAACCCGAUCCAUCCAGACUCUUCAGCGCUCGCAGUCUCUCGUGCUUCUCUCUCUCGCGUCUCUCUCUCUCUCUCUCCUGCCGACGCAGCGCCACUGGUCGCCGCCGAGCUCCCGCCGCCGGCCACCGCGCCCCUGCUGCCUCCUACUGCGCCGCACAGCACCGCCGCCGCGCCGUGCUCGCCGUGCUGCUGCUGCUACGCGCGCGCCGCUGCGUCGCGCCACCGCUCGCCGUCGCACCGAGCUGGCUGCCGUGCGCCGCCGCCGGCUGCCGCUCUCCCUCUCUCUCUGUGGCCUGGCCGGAGAGCAGGCCAGCAGCACCAGUCAACCGAGCAAGCAGCAGCUAGCGCUGAGCAAAGGAGCCAGGAAGAAGAAAGGAAGAAGGAAGAGAGAGAAAAGAAAAGAGAAGAAAAAAAAGAGAGGAAAAAGGUGGAAAUUUUGGAAUUUCGUCGGAUUCAUCGUCAAUCUUUCGAAGGCGAAUUCUCGGUGGUGUGACCUCACGUCACGACUAGCGCCCGGCUUCAUCGUCGGUAAAGGCAAGUGAAUGUAUUGUAUGACUAUGUUUUAACCUAAUAUUGGGUUGCAUGCAUUCUUUAAUUACAGUGCAUUUAUCUAAUCUGAAUGAUUGACUCUGGGCUGAGUACUAUGUUGUUUAUGUUUCCAGAAGUUUACUCGAUGAUGGAUUUAUGAAGUGCAGUAAGCGCGAUAUGCCAUUAUGCAGUUGUUCAUUAUUGUUUAAUGCAAUGUUUUAUUUCAAAGUCUCAAGCAUAUUCCGGGAGUUAUGAUAGUAUGCUUGAAGCACGUCAUACAUAUUCAUCUCAUGCAUUGGAAGUUUGUCGCCGUCUUCUGGCCGCGACUGUACCGGUACAGUACCGUAUGUUACCCGAGAAGGGGUACGGUGCACACCCUUACGUUACCCGAGGAGGGGUAAGGGUGAGGAGAGCAUGUCAUAUGCAUGGUUAUGUCUUCUUAUGAAAUUCAAUGGGUUAUUUGCAUCAAAUCUUAUUUCCUUUAAUUAGCUUGUAUAUAGAUAUAUAUGCGGCUCUGAAGGCUUAUACCAACCGAAUGUUAAAUGAUUAAUGUUAUCGUUGGACUUGCUUA